GCAGGCAACUGUACUGCACCAGCGACCAUCUGUACCGCGGCGAGCGGUCACUGACCAGCGAUCUCCGACUCCCCUCUCCAAACCCUCAGAGGUCUGCAGCACAGCUGCUUUAUUACUGACCCGGGUAUGGGAUGUGUUCUGGCUCCCGCACAGAGAGGGGAGAACAGGGGAUUUCAGCAUCAGACUCGGGUUCGAGGGUCAAACGGCCUCAGCUGCAGCUUCUCCUUUACUGCGGUGAGGGGCUCCGUGAGCAGUAAAAAGUCCCCCCGGGGUGUGAGACAAAAGGAACAGAUUUAUUCACGUAUGUAUAUGUGUCCAGCGGGUCCUACGGGCGGUCAGUGCGCACAGCGGUAACCACGGCAACAGGAAUGUUCCAGCAUCGCGCCAGCGUAACCCGAUUAGAUCAGAAGUCAGGAGACGCAGCGUCUGUCAAUCGACUCUUUGUUUUUCACGGUAAAAACAGCAGCAGGGAUGUUGGCAGCACGAGACGCAUCAGGUGGGCGACUCGCAUCUGCCUGCAGACCCCGUCUGACGCAACACACGCUUUUACGCACGCCGACCGCUCGGCUCACAAACGCGGCUGGGAGCACAAGUCUCGUCGUAACGCGUUUGCUCGUAACUCUUUUACCAACGAGUCACAAUUAAAACACGGUAAGUGACAGAAACGUCCCUCAGGUUUCCGCGCUUGAGAUUCUGUAAAAUUCAUAGAAAUAGAGGUAAUAAAUAAAAACACUUUGUAACACCUUUUAAACCUGAUGUAAAAUUUCUAAAAAUAACACAUCAUUUCCACAAGCUUGUAUUCGUUUAUAAUUGUCUGACUCAACCUGUAAACAUGUACAACGUCCCUCAUCUUCUAAUUGAUCGCUGAGGUUCAGCAGAGACGAUGUGUAAACGCUGUGGACGGGAGCUGAAUGAAGGUGGGUGGUCCAACACCCCGAUCUGUGCGGUGGCUCUUUACUGCCGCCUAUCGGCCGGGCAGUCAGGGCUACAAUGAAUCUCCCAGCUGGAAUCUGCGGAACGAGGGGCUGCAAGUGGGUGUCGGUGUUCUGCCACCCGGCCCGGCCCCAGCUCCCUGUUCGCUACUCAUUCCGGUACUCAUUCCGGUACUCAUUCUGGUCCUUUUGGAGGUGGGAUUCAAACCCCAGCCCUGUGAAUGUGAGGUAGCAGCUGUAACCACUGCGCCACCUACUGCACCUGUCAAGAAUACAAACCGCUGACAGUGCAGACAACUGCUCUGUGAUGCAUUGUACCUUACCGGGGUUGGUGUUACCCUCUUUGUGUAUAAAUACAAAACUUUGGCUCUGCUAA